AUUUCAGCAUCGUCAGGAAGAGGU
rnacentral:sRNA from 1 species